rnacentral:SRP_RNA from 1 species
GCUGGGCGUGGUGGCUCACGCCUGUAAUCCCAACACUCUGGGAGGCUGAGGCGGGUGGAUCACCUGAGGUCAGGAGUUUGUGACCAGCCUGGCCAACAUGGUGAAACCCCAUCUCUA